AGGAAGCAGGAACUGAUGCCGAG
rnacentral:misc_RNA from 1 species